GGGAGUAGUAGUACACAGGCAAUUACACCUAGGUGUUUGCAUGAAAUAAAGACAUCAGAAAAACAAACCUAACAACAGUGUUCUAGUAGCCAUUCUGGGUACAGGUAGACAACCUAUUUAUUUAGAGGAUUGAAAUUAGUAUAAAAUAAAAAUAAAGAGGAUUGAAAUUAGUAUAAAAUAACAAUAAAGAGGAUUGAAAUGAGGAGAAAUACAUAACCUGGAGUUGGGUUUGCCAAUCCAAUCCGAAAACUGCAAUGAUAAAUCUCCAAGAUUUAGUGACACAUGUAUCAAGAUUCUAUGUGAUAAAAAAUGGUAUAAGCACAAACCUGAAUUUGAUGUUCGAUGUGUCAAACUAGCUUCUGGCGUCAGCCCUGUAGGUUGCUACAGACUGCCCUCAUGAUCACCAUCAGGUUGAGCCAUACCUCCAGCCUGAUGUGAAAGAACUCUAGGAGCCGUUACCGCUGCUGCCAAUUUCUCAGCAUUUUUAUGCUCAUAUCUUGCCUCUGCUUUGCAUUCAUCUCAGACCUAACCUAAGCUGGCAAGUUUGCAUAGCUCUCCCGUCACUUUUGCCACUUCAUGUCCGCCUCACAUGACUCCAUCUUAAUCGAAACAAACAAGCUCAAACUCAUAAACGUAAUGAGAUUUAAAUAAUAAAAAUAAUAAUAAAACAACUCACUGCCCCAGAAUUAUUGUUUGACUCAUCAAAUCGCCUCUUACUGCUUUGAGGUGCACAAUGAGAUGUGGUGUUCGUAACGUCCUUGAACGGAAUGCGUGGGCUCAUUGUAACAAUCUGUGAUGCUGGUUAGACAAACCAUGUGAAGCAUGUAGAAAAAACACUAAUGUUAUGCAUGAUUCAUCCAUUAACCUGCGUCUCAUCUAAUCAUGUAGACCUGACGCCUUCUAAUGCUGGCAAGAAGUUGUGGAGCCAAAACAAUACAUUGGCCAUUUGGGUAUAAAUUUAUACAUACAACAAUGAUAAAAAAAAAGGAAACGCACGUUCAUCGUGGCUAAUUGGACAUGGAAUCAUAGGAAACGGGAGAUUGACAAGGGUGAUGAUCUCCAAAAGGAAACAGGAGAUUGAAAAUGGCGUGAUUGAUUGGCCUAAGAUCAGGGAAUGCUACGAUGCUCCAAAAGGAAAUGGGAGAUUGACAAGAACCGUGAUUGAUGACCACAACGGCACGCUUGCCUAAUGUACAGGGACGGGGCGCACAUUUGUGGGACUGGCGGGUGUAAAAACCAGAAAAAAGGGUGCAAUGACAAAAAAUGGGUGCGGAUGGGAUUUACAAUGGUGGGAUUUACCACUGCUGGGGAAAGCGCCUUCAGUACCAGGUCCAAACCCCUGAUUUAGUAUCGGUUGCUCAACCGAUAUUGCUAAGUCGGUACUAAAGAGGUUCUUUUAGUACCCGUACAAAUAACUGGUACUAAAGGGGCUCCUUUAGUACCGGUUGGGAGACCAACCGAUACUAAAUUGACCUCAGCCAAUG
rnacentral:lncRNA from 1 species